rnacentral:tRNA from 1 species
GAGGGUGUAGCUCAGUGGUAGAGCGUGUGCUUAGCAUGCACAAAGUCCUGGGUUCAAUCCCCAGUACCUCA